CCUACGGGUCGCAGCAGUGAGGAAUAUUGGUCAAUGGGCGUAAGCCUGAACCAGCCAAGUCGCGUGAGGGAUGAAGGUUCUAUGGAUCGUAAACCUCUUUUAUAAGGGAAUAAAGUGUGGGACGUGUCCUGUUUUGUAUGUACCUUAUGAAUAAGCAUCGGCUAACUCCGUGCCAGCAGCCGUGUUAAUACGGAGGCUGCGAGCGUUAUCCGUAUUUCUUGGGGUUAAAGGGUGCGUAGGCGGACUGGAAAGUCAGCGGUAACAUCGAGAGGCUCAACCUCUUUCCGCCGUUGAAACUGGCGGUCUUGAGUGGGCGAGAAGUAUGCGGAAGGCGUGGGGUAGCGGUGAAAUGCAUAGAUAUCACGCAGAACUCCGAUUGCGAAGGCAGCAUACCGGCGCCCGACUGACGCUGAGGCACGAAAGCGUGGGUAUCGAACAGGAUUAGAUACCCUUGUAGUC
rnacentral:rRNA from 1 species